GAUGAACGCUGGCGGCGUGCCUAACACAUGCAAGUCGAGCGGACACACGAUGAGCUCUCGCCUUUGCGGUUAGCGGGGGGCGGGUGAGUAACACGUGCAUCACCUACCUAUAAUUCGGGGAGGAUAACGGGAAACCGCUUCUGCUACUGGAGAAUAUAUCGUACGGCAUGGUUCAAUAGUGAAACGCGGUUUUGCUGUUUCAUAGAGAUGAUUCCGCGUCGCAUUAGCUAGUUGGUAAGGUAACGGCUUACCAAGGCGACGAUGCGUAGCCGAUCUGAGAGGAUGAUCAGCCACACUGGAACUGAGACACGGUCCAGACUCCUACGGGAGGCAGCAGUGGGGAAUAUUGGACAAUGGGCGCAAGCCUGACCCAGCCAUGCCGCGUGAGUGAAGAAGGCCUUCGGGUCGUAAAGCCCUUUUGUUGGGAAAGAAAAGCAGCAGGUUUAAACACCGCCGUUUUGACGGUACCCAAAGAAAAAGCACCGGCUAACUUCGUG
rnacentral:rRNA from 1 species